GGGGCCAUGGCUCAGUGGUAGAACAUCUGCUUUGCAUGCAGAAGGUGCCAGGUUCAAUUCCUGGCAUCUCCA